UACGAAGGGGGCUAGCGUUGCUCGGAAUGACUGGGCGUAAAGGGCGCGUAGGCGGAUGGCACAGUCAGAUGUGAAAUUCCCCGGGCUUAACCGUGGGGGCUGCAUUGAUACGUGUGAUCGUAGAGUGAGGAAGGAGGGUCGGUGGAAUUCCCAGUGUAGAGGUGAAAUUCGUAGAUAUUGGGAAGAACACCGGUGGCGAAGGCGGCGACCUGGUCCUUGACUG
rnacentral:rRNA from 1 species